rnacentral:sRNA from 1 species
CCCCCUUUCAACGUUGUAGACAGCUGUCAAAUCCCAUCCAAAAUGCACCAUCUAAUAUUUCAACUUCUCACCAACC